AUGCUAACCAAAUCUCUAGUCAUGAUGUCACCAAGUUUACUAUUGUCUUGGUCCUUUACAGUUUCAUACAUUCAUAGGGUUCUAUGUCCACAUUCUAAUGUUCAUGUGUAAGAUCUGGUCCUCUUUUAGAGGAUUCAAUAACUGACAAUACUACAAUUUAACUUCUAACUAGCUCUUUAUGCUAGUUUCACAAUUUCACUGUUUAUCUCACAAUGCUAUCCAAUUCUCAAGUAGAAUGUCACCAAGUUCACUAUUGUCAAAGUCCAUGCAUUCAUAGGGUUCUAUGUCCACAAUCUAGGUUCACAAAUUCUUAUUGUUGAUAGGAAUUCACAUUUUCACUCGCUCAAUGCCAAACACCCUAUAAUGCAUGACUACAAAUAUAAAUAUGCUCAACGGAGAAUUAUAGACAUAAAAGGUGAUUCAAAGAGUUCGGAUAGCACCACCCACCUGUAGUGGUGUCAAUCAACUAGAAUCCACGUCUCAGAAAGCGUCGACGACUAUCUCUCGCGACUC
rnacentral:lncRNA from 1 species